rnacentral:rRNA from 1 species
UACAGAGGUCUCAAGCGUUGUUCGGAUUCAUUGGGCGUAAAGGGUGCGUAGGCGGCGCGGUAAAUCGGGUGUGAAAUCUCGGGGCUUAACUCCGAAACUGCAUUCGAUACUGCCGUGCUUGAGGACUGGAGAGGAGACUGGAAUUUACGGUGUAGCGGUGAAAUGCGUAGAUAUCGUAAGGAAGACCAGUGGCGAAGGCGGGUCUCUGGACAGUUCCUGACGCUGAGGCACGAAGGCCAGGGGAGCAAACGGG